UUCAUCACUGGAGUCCUCCUCCCCUGUUCUGGAGGUAACUUCCCACUUCCCUGGUACAAAUCCUAAUUUUUUUCCUUUGUUUUGAGAGCAACCCACUCAGUGUGAGGCCGAAUCCCUGCGUCUGCAGCAGAAUGAAAUGAGAUACUUCUCAGAGACGGGGUGAAGUGAUGAAGUGUUCAGCAGUGACCCAGCUGUGCAACCACUUCAAGCUUUCUGAGAAAACUGGGCAGGAAAUCUGUCAGGUCUUCACUGGAUGGAUGACAGUGGGGAGGACAAAGACUCCUGCUUGGAAAGUACACAUUGUGGUGUCAAAUGGUAAAGAAAUCUACUUUACCUUGGAAGGCGAUGAAGACGAGUAAAUAUGGCCAAAGUCACCAACCAGCAAGAUCUCAUAAAGGGGUGUCACAAAUAAAUGAAGAUCUAUUGGGGGAUCUUCAUUGGACAAUA